rnacentral:rRNA from 1 species
ACGAACGCUGGCGGCGUGCUUAACACAUGCAAGUCGAACGGAAAGGCCCUGCUUUUGUGGGGUGCUCGAGUGGCGAACGGGUGAGUAACACGUGAGUAACCUGCCCUUGACUUUGGGAUAACUUCAGGAAACUGGGGCUAAUACCGGAUAGGAGCUCCUGCUGCAUGGUGGGGGGUGGAAAGUUUCGGCGGUUGGGGAUGGACUCGCGGCUUAUCAGCUUGUUGGUGGGGUAGUGGCUUACCAAGGCUUUGACGGGUAGCCGGCCUGAGAGGGUGACCGGCCACAUUGGGACUGAGAUACGGCCCAGACUCCUACGGGAGGCAGCAGUGGGGAAUAUUGCACAAUGGGCGGAAGCCCGAUGCAGCAACGCCGCGUGCGGGAUGACGGCCUUCGGGUUGUAAACCGCUUUCGCCUGUGACGAAGCGUGAGUGACGGUAAUGGGUAAAGAAGCACCGGCUAACUACGUG